rnacentral:rRNA from 1 species
ACUUAACAACUAGCUUAACCAUAAUAAUGACAAUACACCAUUAAACCGUUAUAAACAAAUUACUAAGAUAAAACUAAAACAUUCUACCGUCACAGUAUGUGAGACAGAAAAGACCAUAUAAAGCUAUAAAAACGUACCGCAAGGGAUAGUUGAAAAAGAAAUGAAACAAAUCAUAUAAGUAUGACAAAGCAGAGACUAAAUCUCGUACCUUUUGCAUCAUGGUUUAGCCAGUACAACUGAGCAAAGCGUACUUUAGUUCAAAACCCCGAAACUAAGUGAGCUACCUCAAGACAGUCUGAUAAUCAGGACCAACCCGUCUCUGUGGCAAAAGAGUGGGAAGAUCUUCAGGUAGAGGUGACAAACCUACCGAACUUAGUGAUAGCUGGUUGCCUAAUAAAUGAAUAAAAGUUCAGCCCCAUAUCUCCUCCGCUCACCACACUACUACAUAAAAGAACAAGAGAAACAUAUGGAGGUUAAUCAAAAGGGGUACAGCCCUUUUGAUUCAGGACACAACCUUAACAGGAGGUUAAAGAUUAUAAUAAAUAAAAUACAUGCCACAGUGGGCCUAAAAGCAGCCACCUGAGUAAAAAGCGUUAAAGCUCAAGCAAACAAAAUUUAUUAUCCUAAUAUAUUAUCCAAAACCCCUAACCACACUAGGCUACCCCAUGCAAACAUGGGAAAAAUACUGCUAAAAUGAGUAAUAAGAAGACAACAUCUUCUCCUUAAAUCCACUUGUAAGCUAGAUCGGACCAACCACUAGCAAUUAUAGAACCCACAAAAAGAGGGCAAUGUGUAAGCACUAAAAAUCAAGAAAUAAACACACCAUAAAAAUCAUUAAACCUACACCGGGGGAUUAAACUAAGGAUGACUAAAAGAAAAGGAAGGAACUCGGCAAACACAAGCCUCGCCUGUUUACCAAAAACACCGCCUCCUGCAAAUCAAAGUAUAGGAGGUCUCGCCUGCCCAGUGAUUUAUUUAAACGGCCGCGGUAUUUUGACCGUGCGAAGGUAGCGCAAUCACUUGUCUUUUAAAUGAAGACCUGUAUGAAUGGUAGAACGAGGGCUUAACUGUCUCCCUCUUCCAGUCAAUGAAAUUGAUUUACCCGUGCAGAAGCGGGUAUGAACAUACAAGACGAGAAGACCCUUUGGAGCUUAAGAUAAUAGGUCACCUAUGUCAAUACAAUGUAAACUAAAUAGAGAUUGACCUGGCUCUUCAGUUGGGGCGACUAUGGGAGAAAGACAAGCUCCCACGAAGAUUGGGCUAAAACCUAAACCUAAGAAAGACAUUUCCAAGACACAGAACAUCUGACUUUAAUGAUCCGGCUACCACCGAUUAACGAAACAAGUUACCCUAGGGAUAACAGCGCAAUCCCCUCCAAGAGUCCAUAUCGACAAGGGGGUUUACGACCUCGAUGUUGGAUCAGGACAUCCUAAUGGUGCAGCCGCUAUUAAGGGUUCGUUUGUUCAACGAUUAAAGUCCUACGUGAUCUGAGUUCAGACCGGAGCAAUCCAGGUCAGUUUCUAUCUGUAAUGCUAAUUUUCCUAGUACGAAAGGACCGGAAAAUAUGGGCCCAUAUUGUAAAUAAGCCCAAUCCUAAUUUAAUGAACACAACUAAAUUAAAUAAUAGGAAUAGCACAAAACCUAACCUAGACAAGAUU